GAUGAACGCUGGCGGCGUGCCUAAUACAUGCAAGUCGAGCGAACGGACGAGAAGCUUGCUUCUCUGAUGUUAGCGGCGGACGGGUGAGUAACACGUGGAUAACCUACCUAUAAGACUGGGAUAACUUCGGGAAACCGGAGCUAAUACCGGAUGAUAUUUUGAACCGCAUGGUUCAAAAGUGAAAGACGGUCUUGCUGUCACUUAUAGAUGGAUCCGCGCUGCAUUAGCUAGUUGGUAAGGUAACGGCUUACCAAGGUAACGAUGCAUAGCCGACCUGAGAGGGUGAUCGACCACACUGGAACUGAGACACGGUCCAGACUCCUACGGGAGGCAGCAGUAGGGAAUCUUCCGCAAUGGGCGAAAGCCUGACGGAGCAACGCCGCGUGAGUGAUGAAGGUCUUCGGAUCGUAAAACUCUGUUAUUAGGGAAGAACAUAUGUGUAAGUAACUGUGCACAUCUUGACGGUACCUAAUCAGAAAGCCACGGCUAACUACGUG
rnacentral:rRNA from 1 species